rnacentral:rRNA from 1 species
UACGUAGGGUCCGAGCGUUGUCCGGAAUUACUGGGCGUAAAGAGCUCGUAGGUGGUUUGUCACGUUGUUCGUGAAAACCCACAGCUCAACUGUGGGCGUGCGAGCGAUACGGGCAGACUAGAGUACUGCAGGGGAGACUGGAAUUCCUGGUGUAGCGGUGGAAUGCGCAGAUAUCAGGAGGAACACCGGUGGCGAAGGCGGGUCUCUGGGCAGUAACUGACGCUGAGGAGCGAAAGCGUGGGGGAGCAAACAGG